rnacentral:rRNA from 1 species
UACGGGGGGUCCAAGCGUUGUUCGGAAUCACUGGGCGUAAAGAGCACGUAGGUGGCUUUUCAAGUCUGUUGUGAAAGCCCAGGGCCUAACCCUGGAAGUGCAGCAGAUACUGUUAAGCUUGAGUAUGGGAGAGGAUAGUGGAAUUUCUGGUGUAGUGGUGAAAUACGUAGAUAUCAGAAGGAACACCAGUGGCGAAGGCGGCUAUCUGGCCCAAUACUGACACUAAGGUGCGAAAGCGUGGGGAUCAAACAGG